UGGGGGAGUCGGCCAUUUCUCGGGCGCCUCAUGAUCCUGGGAGCUUCAACUGCUUUGAUGGCGUUUCAUCCGAGUCCUGGAGGACCGUGAACUCGAUCGAAGAGGGCAUUCUGUCCCUGGCAGUGGGGGAUAGGCGCUUGGAUCCACUCCUGGAUUCAAGAGCUCUGCACGUCAGGAUUUCUUUUUCCGACGAUGACCCUCUUGGAGAGGUGAAGUAUACGGUUACCUGCUACUACGCGAGAUGGUUUGACGAAUUGAGGAGAAGCUGUUGUCCGUCAGAGCUGGAUUUCGUCAGGUCAAUCUGUCGCUGUAAGAAGUGGGGGGCGCAGGGCGGCAAGAGCAACGUCUUCUUCGCCAAAUCGUUGGAUGAUAGAUU
rnacentral:lncRNA from 1 species